GGCGGGGUUCCCGCGGCUGGUGCCCGGCGCGGUCUUCAAAACCGUUGAAGAGCGUGGCGACACGUUCUUGGCGGGUUCGAUUCCCGUCCCCCGCCGCCA
rnacentral:tRNA from 1 species